AUGGAUGUCCUGGUGGUGGCUGAUCCUACAGGGACAUUUCCCAUGGCUGUCCCAGCAGGUGCUGAUCCCACAGGGACAUUUCCCAUGGCUGAUCCUAGCAGGACAUUCCCCAUGGAUGUCCUGGCGGUGGCUGAUCUUACAAGGACAGUUCCCGUGGUGGCUGAUCCUACAAGGACAGCUCCUGUGGUGGCUGAUCCUACAAGGACAGCUCCUGUGGUGGCUGAUCCUAGUAGGACAUCCCCAUGCUGUCCCAGUGGCGGUGGCGGCGGUGGCAGGAGAGGAUCCCGUCGUUGUUGCCGGGGGGGGUGGCGAGGGGCAGGGCUGCGCUGUCGGGUGGGACUGGGGGGGUCUCUGGUGGCUUUAGUAGAGCUGGAGCUGCAGCUUCAUCCUCAGUGCCUGGCCCAGCUCCCCCGCCAAGUAGUCGAGGUGGUUGUCAGCCUCGAGUUUGUGCAGUUCCCGCCGGCGGGGCAGGCCCACGCUGACGAUCUCCAGCACGUAGGUGCCCGGCAGGAUUUUCUUGCGGCCCAGGUGCAGGAAGCUGAGCCCGUCCCUGUGGUGGAUGCGGAACAGCCCCUCCUCGUUUCCCUGGGCGAUGGCGUAGCGCACGCGGUUCUCCAGCGGCUCCAGCGCCGGCAGCAGCUCCAGGAUGUGCUCCCUGUGCGCCAGCUCCGACAGGUUCAGCGCCAUGGACAGCGGCGCCUCCACGUCCAUGCUGGCCAGGUUCACCUCGUGAUCCUGCUGGGAACAGCAAAAUUAACACACCAACAGCACAGGUUUGUGCCCAAAGAGGAGAUACAGGAGUCCUUCUGA
rnacentral:lncRNA from 1 species